GACGUAGGGGGCCAGCGUUGUUCGGAAUUACUGGGCGUAAAGGGUUCGUAGGCGGUGUGGCAAGUCGGGUGUGAAAUCUCUGGGCUCAACUCAGAGACUGCUUCCGAAACUGCUGUGCUGGAGUGUGGGAGAGGCGCGUGGAAUUGCAGGUGUAGCGGUGAAAUGCGUAGAUAUCUGCAGGAACACCCGUGGCGAAAGCGGCGCGCUGGACCACUACUGACGCUGAGGAACGAAAGCUAGGGGAGCAAACAGG
rnacentral:rRNA from 1 species